rnacentral:SRP_RNA from 1 species
UCGUGCAGCCGGGGUGGUAGCGGUACCUUGCACCUGCAAUCCGCUAUAGCAGGGGUGAUAUUGCGCAGAGGGCAUAUGCUGGUGAAGCUGCCUUUGGAAAGUGACGUUGAUGUCCGGGUCUCACGCGACGGAAAUCUGUGAAUCGUGUCAGGUCGGGAACGAAGCAGCACUAAGCGGAACCUUCCGGGUGCCGUGAGGGUGCCUGGACUGAGUUAACUACCAGAGUAACGUUUAUUGGUUUUAAGUUCGAAGCGCAAUGCACAU